AGAGUUUGAUCAUGGCUCAGAUUGAACGCUGGCGGCAGGCCUAACACAUGCAAGUCGAGCGGUAGAGAGAAGCUUGCUUCUCUUGAGAGCGGCGGACGGGUGAGUAAUGCCUAGGAAUCUGCCUGGUAGUGGGGGAUAACGUUCGGAAACGGACGCUAAUACCGCAUACGUCCUACGGGAGAAAGCAGGGGACCUUCGGGCCUUGCGCUAUCAGAUGAGCCUAGGUCGGAUUAGCUAGUUGGUGGGGUAAUGGCUCACCAAGGCGACGAUCCGUAACUGGUCUGAGAGGAUGAUCAGUCACACUGGAACUGAGACACGGUCCAGACUCCUACGGGAGGCAGCAGUGGGGAAUAUUGGACAAUGGGCGAAAGCCUGAUCCAGCCAUGCCGCGUGUGUGAAGAAGGUCUUCGGAUUGUAAAGCACUUUAAGUUGGGAAGGAAGGGUUGUAGAUUAAUACUCUGCAAUUUUUGACGUUACCGACAGAAUAAAGCACCGGCUAACUUUUGUGCCAGCAGCCGNGGUAAUACCAAAGGUGNCAGGCGUUAAUCGGAAUACCNGGCCUAANCCCCCUAGGNGGUANGUAAAUUGGUUUGGAAACCCCGGGUUAACUNGGAACUNNUUUNAAACUGC
rnacentral:rRNA from 1 species